UUGUGGUCUUUCUGUUUCUCGGUGGAAGCUGAAUUAGUGAGGAUGACUCCUGCUCCUGUCAUCUCUAAGCUCCUCACACAUCUUUACCUGCACAUGAGGAAAAUCACUCCUGUAGGAUGCAGAUGUUCAGAGGGAGAUGAUGCCACAUCUGGUCCAGCCGAUGGAAGGUCUUGAAGUUCUCUGACUGGCCUCGACUGAAGAUGGUCGUCUCACUGGAUUUAAGAUGCACAAUGAGGGACGUCUGCAGAGACUGAGAAGGAGUCUCACCACAUCCUGACAUGAGGAAAAAGACUUUAUUGAAGACUACAAUGAGAAAAACUAUCAGACAGCAGACGGCUGCAUUCAAGAGAGGAAGACCAUCAAACAUCCACGUCAGCUGA
ensembl:lncRNA